ensembl:lncRNA
GGCUGUUGGAGCAACAGCAGGCACUGCAGAGUCUCUAAUAAAUAACCCGCAUUGAUCUCUCAUUUUGUGAUUUAUCUUGGUUUAUUUGCUCUUCGAGCUUUGAUUCACGGCUCCAUGGGGAGAUUUUGGAAAAUCAUUUACCCAUCAGCUGAGGCACACUGACUGUAGCCCAUAAAAGGUCAAGGGGGAACAGACCCAAGAUGGGAAUCUCAGCCGCUGAUCUUUCCAGGGCGAUAACCAGAUUCUGCACACGGUGACCACAGGGAGGAAACAUGGAUAAGUUGUUGCUGUGUCUCCUGGUCAUCGUUAACCUCACUGGUGCUUUUUUCCAAGGAGACACAUACAGAAAGGCCUUUGUGUUCCCCAGAGAAUCAGAUACAUCCUUUGUGACCCUGUUUGCUCCGGUGCAGAAGCCGCUGAAAGCUUUCGCCAUGUGCCUACAAGCCUACACCGCCUCGUCCCGCCCUUAGAGCCUCUUCUCUUACGCCACCAGGGCGCAGCACAAUGAGAUCCUUCUCUUCAGGGAAAAGCUUGGCUUAUACAGCGUACCUGUGGGUGGAUCUGACAUCUACUUCAGGGUUCCUGAGACCUUUUACAAACCAAGGCACUUCUGUGUUACCUGGGAGUCCAGCACGGGGAUUACAGAGCUCUGGGUGGAUGGGAAGCCCAUGGUGCCAAAUGCUUGUGGUGUGGCGGGCACUCGCUUCAGAUGCGUGGGACAAGCAGGAAAGCCACAGAAACAAGAGUGACGGAACCACACACACAGAUGCGGUCUCAGUCACCUGGGACUUCGAUUACAGCAAAUUUACACGUGUGAUAUGUUUCCACAAGGAGCUGGCAUGUGCUCUUUCUCCAGAUCCUCACAUGGCCGGUUCCAUAUCAUUUGUUUUCUUGAUCUGUUCUUAGUUUCUAAGCAGCUAUCACUACUUGAAAAAAAUUAGUGGUGCGGGUUUCAAUAUUGUUUCCUCUCCCACUAGACUGCAAAUUCCACGAGAGCAGGGACAUUAUUGCCUAUUGUAUUCCCAGUUUCUAUGAUGACUCAUAGUAUGUUCUCAAUAAAUAUUUGAUGAAUUAAUUAAUUCUAGAGAAGGCAGCAGUAGGGAAGAAAUGGUCCGGAUGCAGCUGAGGAUGGAGAGAUGCAUAAAGAGUGGGAUGUUGUGAGCCCAUAAUUUUGCUCAUGGGAUGGUCUGCUGUGCGUGACUGUAAACUUGCUCCUUACACAAGGGAAGGAGUGGCUGGAGUCCGCACUGGAUUCUGCAUGAUGCUUCUGGGAGUAAAGCAGGUAGGGAAAUGGAAAUUAAAAAAAAAAUAUUAAGAAGGGAUGCCUGGGUGGCUAAGUCGGUUAAGCAUCAGCAUUUGGCUCAGGUCAUGAUCCCAGGGUCCUGGGCUGGAGUCCCACGUUGAGCUCCUUGCUCAGCAGGGAGUCUGCUUCUCCCUCUACCCCUCCCCCUGAUUGUGCUCUUUCUGUCUCUGACAAAUAUAUAAAUAAAAUCUUAAAAAAUAUUAAGAAUAAAUGUUGGAGUAGGCAGUUAGUUAGGGUCUAACAGGAGACCUGGAGGUCUGCAACAAGGAAGCCAUGGCCAACUAUUGGGAAGGUCCUGGCAGCCGUCCACAAGAAUCCGGAUCAAACCAGACAGGCCCAAGAUGGCGGAUGCCAUGACAGGAAACCCCUGACCAAACAAGGAAGAAAAAACUCGAAACCCUGCUUCCUGCCCCAAGUAAUAAAUAUUCUGCCCCCUAGUUAACAACUGUCAAUAAAAGAUAGAAACCCACCCCGCCAGGGCACACUGCACUCUCUCUCUCUCAAGCUUGGCCGUUCUCCUCUCUCGAGAGUAUACGUUUACCUUUAAUAAACUUUCCUGCUUAUGUAACUUGUCCACUGUGCUGUGUGUCUGUUCUUGAAUUC